UCUACUACUCUAUAAGAUGCUAUUGUAGGCAUCCACACAAACAAGUGGUGCACGGUUCUGCCCCGCGCCUGAAUUCCUCCGACGCCUGAAAUCCCGCUUGCAGCGCCUGAAAUCCACCCGUGCCCGAUUUCCUUUCCCUCUCAGAACCUUCCAUGAACGCUACGUCGUGAUCCCCUCCACCGGCCAGGAUGGCACCCGACAUCACCCCUUCGCAGCACCUUCAACCUGACAUCUCCACCCCCACGACCAGCAGGCCAGGCAUGGAUCUCGCCCCCACGCCCGAUGAUAGCGCCCAUGCUCUGCCCCCAUACCCAACGGGCAGCCAUGGAUCUCGCAGGGCGAGGAUCUCGUGGAUCACGCCGGAUCUGCCGCUCCCAAUCUCUGCAUCGCGUGGACGCCUUCCAUGGAGUCUCUGUACGUAUGCCAGUGCCCGUCCCUCACCCCUGAUCUGCCACUCCCAAUAUCUCCACCCCCACCGCGAUGACGACGCGCAACCCCCGGCCACCGUGCUGCCAGCGCCCGUCCCUCACCCCGCACGCUGUGACCGGACUACCGCGCCUGGCCCCCACUCCCAUGAGAUUGCCGCCCCUCCCGCCCUGCUAGCCAUACCACCAUAGAUCCAGCUAGGGUGGCGUCAUUGCGUUCAAUCCUGUGCGAGAGAAUGCAAAAUCGUCGUUGGACUGAUAUUGACCAGAGGUUCCUCCACCCAGUUGCAUCAGGUUUCGCUGCCAUUUGCAGCGAUUGUGCUCUAGUUCGGUCAUUUGGGGGAAAAGGUGAGUCCUCCUAUUUCCUCUCAAUGCAUGAGUUGACAAACAUUUGGGAGAAACAUCCCCUCUUUAAUUCGAAAAAUUCGACAAAGAACAAUUGUUGUUGUGAGCAGGGAUCGUAUCUACUGAAUCCUCAGGCUCCAGGGAUGGUUCUCGACAUGGACGACUACGUAGACCCCUAUGAGGAGGUCGUGGCCGAGGACGACUCUGACAACCCUGACAAGGACGACUCAGAUGCGGAGAGCAACUACAAGGAUAAGUCGUUCGACCUCCUCAAGUCCGACAAGCACCGGUUGCGCAACCUGGAUGACACCUUCCGUGGCCCCUUCUGCCCCUGCAAGAAGAGCAGGGGUACAAGAGCAAGGACCUCCUCCAGCACGCUCCGACGACAUCGAUGUCUCCAACAAGCAUUGACAUCACGACCACAAAUGUUUAGGUUAUGUAAUAUCACCAGUCGAUCAAUGAGGACAAUCAGUUUUAAAGCACAUGUUUGCCAAGGCCUCUACAUUGUAUGUAUCUCAACUCUAUUGCGUGCAGGCGAGCAAUGGAAUAAAAAAGCCUUACUAUGUAUCUCAACUCUAUUGCUCUGCUUAGCCAAGGCCUCUCCGCUAUAUGUGCCUGGUACCCAUACCAUUUUUGGCCACUUCUACUUUGA